AGAUAAGGACGUAGAGCCACGCCCUUGUAAAACUAAAAAAAGCUCACUGAGA
rnacentral:sRNA from 12 species